rnacentral:lncRNA from 1 species
UUCCAGUCGGACCUUAACGAGGAAAACAACCAGGUUUUAUCCCAACUGGACUCUUAAAGUGUUACCUGGUGAAACAUGGAGCCGGGUAACGUGGUGUAUGUUCACCUGGUGGAUCCUGUGGACGAUAAACUCUCCAAGGCGGAGAUACUGAGAGGAUUAAUCACCGAGAAACUCACCACAGCCGCUCAGGAAAUACUUGCGGUGGUGGAGAGAACUGUAGCCGGGUACGAGGAGGAGGUUUCGGGCUUGAGGCAGGAGGUCGAGCGGCAGAGGAAACAAAUAGAGGUGGUUCUUCAACCUCAGGUGACUCUGUGUCGGAUAGAUGAACAUGGAUUGAUCUCUGUCAGAGCUGGUGCAGGUGAACUCACACAGGAGGAAGAGAAACAACAGACACAUGUGGAGGAAGCUGCUGGGAGUCAAGAUGUCUUAGCCCUCACUGAGGAAAAGGAGGUCAGCUGUGUAGACACAUUACAGCACACAAGAAUAGACCAGGAGGAUCUGAGGGACCCAGAUCAUCUGAUCCCAAAUACAGGGUUCGAAUAUGAUAUGAUAUGACCAAUUAAAAAAUUCUUAAUGUUAUGUGGGAAAUCUGUCUUUAAAUUAUUUCUUUAAUUAAUUUUUUUGCAGGGUUCAGCCUGUGAAGACCACGUUGAGGAUAAGUGAUCCACUAAAUCUCAGAGUCUGUCUGUUAAAGGAGUCAAAGUCCAACAGGAUCAAAAAAGGCAGUAAGUUUACAAAAAAUACAAAUAAAAAAAUAACAUUUUGAAUGUGAAACAGAUUAGUACAUCAAAUAUAAAGUUCAAACAUUUAGGCGGUAAGUUUAGAAAACGACUACUAAUGCACAGAAUGAAAAUGUUGUUGGCUGAACAAUUGUUUACACUCAUUUAAUAUUAUUCAUUCAGAGUUAAC